AAUUUGUUAGUUUUCAAUGAGAAAAAUGCAAUGCUUAAUGGACCCUACAGAUACCAGAACCACUAUAGCUUAAUGUAGUUAUUCUAGUGUUUAUACCCUGUACAUGCAGACCUUUCAACAUAAACACUGUCUGCAGCACCUACGUUCAGCGUCUCUACGCUGUGCCUGGAGGCGUUGAAUGUUCCCCAUGGAGAUCAUUGAUUAAAAACAUCUGUAU